GAACAAAAAAGUCAGACCGAGACUAGAACCACCCGCAGCGUAACAAGGAAAUCUUGGAGCAAAGAGACGCCGAGUGGCUCGUGUUGUGCGGUUUGGAUAUCUGCUGCAAAGCGAACGUUGUGUGUACUAUUGCAAAAUAGCGGAUCUCCCCGGUUAGGAUACAGACCACAACGCUUUGGACGUAUCUUUAAAAAAGAGAAAAAUCAGAGACUUUUUGGAUUUGUCUGGGGACAUUUUAAACAUUUUGUGUCAAAUUGGAUUUAAAACAUUUCGGAUACUGGAUACCUAGUUUGAUUUGUCCACAGAGCUUGUUUAAGACGUUUUCACCUCA